rnacentral:rRNA from 1 species
GACAGAGGUCUCGAGCGUUAGGCGGAAUCACUGGGCUUAAAGCGUGUGUAGGCGGACUUGUAAGUACCUUGUGAAAUCCCACGGCUCAACCGUGGAACUGCUUGGUAUACUGCUUGUCUUGGGCCAUCUAGGGGUUACCGGAACAAACGGUGGAGCGGUGAAAUGCGUAGAUAUCGGGAGGAACACCAGUGGCGAAGGCGGCCGGCUGGGGGUGCCCUGACGCUGAGGCGCGAAAGCGUGGGGAGCGAACCGG